GAUCUUAUGUGUCUACAAACACCUCACCCAAGCUAGCGUUCCUUGGGUGUCAGCCUAGAACAAGAACAUUGGCAGGCAAGAAGAGACAACCAAGAUGGCAAGCUCCUGCAUAAUAACCUCCAAUGUAAAAAAAUGAAAGAAAUCACAAAUAUCU